UCCGCCUCCAUUCUUUAUCUCCACUCUCUAAACCUAAAAUUCUCCAUCUCCAAUCCUCCAAGUACAAAUCGGCGGCUAUCUCCUCCAGAUUCCAGCCCGUCGCCGCCUCUGCCCUACAACCGUGCUCCAGUUCGUUGCCUCCGCCCUACAGCCGUGCUUCAGUUCGCUGCCUCCCGUCCCCACUUCGUCGCCUCUCCACCCGACCAUUCGUCACCUCCGCCCUUUAGCCAUCCACAUCGUCUCCAGGAAGCUAGGUACAAAUUCAGACUUAUGUUUAUGCUUUAAAUGGUGUUGAAUAUUUGGAAGUUUGAGCAAGAAAAGUUACGAAGGCUUUAGAUCUAGAAAGGAACUUGCAGCUCCAUUUGUUAAUCAUGUUGCCUACAUAUUUAUGUAAUUUAAUUUUUGUUGAUGGUGAUGCUGUAGCUUAAAUAUUUUUGUUGGUUGAGAUGUUAAUCAUGCCAUGGUUUUACUUUGAA